GGCUUCUUGUUGCCAAUGGACACCAGAAGGAUUAUCACUGGGUGCUAUACUCGGGGUGCUCACGGAGCUCUCAGAGCCACCAGCAUCACUGCCAGUGUUGAAAGGAGGGGCCUGUGGCAGGCGAGAAUACUGGAGUGGGUUGCCAUUCUCUUCUCCCGGGGAUCUUCCCAACCCAGAGAUCGAACCCCGGUCUCCUGCAUUGCAGACAGCUUCUUUACCAUCUGAGCCACCAGGGAAGCCCCGAGAAAAACCCCAGUGCCCUGCAUUUGUGACAAAAUCAUCUCCUAGGACAGAUCCCAGGAGAAAACGGGCAUCACUGUCUGGGGAAGACAUGGAUGGACUCAGCUGCUCCUGACUUCAUUCUUCAAAACCACCACCUCUGCAGUGGAACAGUUUCCCUUGUAAUUUGCUCCAAAAGUUUAUGACUUAGUGGAUUCCAGGAGGGAGAAGGCAUAUGUGCGUUUGUUCAAUAUACCUUUUUAAAGUAGAAGGGUGUGAUUGUUAAAGAUUUAUAGAUGUUUGGGUUUAAAAUCACAAAAUAAUUUGUUGAUUAUGAGUAAAGAUAGUCUGAGACUGGUACACUGUAUUUAAACUUUUAAAAUCUGGAGGUGAAGAAAAUGUGAACAUCUGAGAUGUGCUGGGAAUGUGCUCUCUAUGGUUUGGAAGCCAUAAUUGAAAUUUAUCUUUAGAACAGUCUCUUUGUUCUGGGAUAGAAUCAUCUUGGUUGUAUUUCUUAUUCAUACUGUGUUUCAUUUUGUUGUGUUUAGGGUUACUCUAAGUGCUUUUGAAGCAAACAAAAAAGCAAAUGCUUUUAUUUAUUUAUUCGUUCAUUCCCAACUCGGUGAUUCAUUCAUCUGUUGAUUUACUUAUACAACAAAUACUUACUGAACCCUCAUUCAGUGCCUUGCCUGAAUUAUAUGGAGGGAGGCCAGCAUCAGAGCUGUGUGCUUGUUAUCAUGUUUCAUAAUGUGAAAAGCUGUGUCAAGAGGUUGGAGGGUGAGGAGAGCUGUGAAGCAGUGGUUCUCCGCCAAGUCCGGUAUCCCAACCAGGAAGCAUCAGCCACAGCUUCCAGCAUCUGGAGGUUGGUUGGAACUGCCAGUACUCAGGGCCCACCCCAGAGACACUGCAUGUGAGACUGUGUGGCUGAACACAGCACCUUGGCUCAACUUCCUGUGAGCUUCAUGUGAUUUCAGUGCAUAAUAACAGGUAAGAACCACUAUUCUAAAAAAAAAAAAACAGCUUUAAUUUUAAAAAGGUCAGUUUUGAUAUGUGAGCCAGGAAGUAAAGCUGUGUAAUAUUCUGGGUCUACAAAAAGGGGAGAGGAGAUGGUGAAAGCGAGCUCCGAGACAAUGGGAAUUUCAAAAGUCCAUUAAAAAAAAUCUAUCCUAUAUUCAGACUUGAUUUUUCUAUUUAAAUAGGGAUAUGCUACAAUGUGUCUGUUGAAGGUUUCUGGGAUUAUUUUUCAGUUCAUUUUAUUGUGCUUCGGCACCCAUUUGCUGGUUGGAUAUGGUAAUCGGAUCCUUAUUUUAUGGUAUUUAUGUAAAACUAUAGCUACCCCUGAUGAUGGAGCCAAGGGAUCAGCUGUGAAGGUUGUCCCAUCACUGUCCGUCUUACCGAUGUCAUGCUCAUGGACAAUACUGCUCUCAGUGUCACUCAGAUAUUCUACUAACAUCUUGUAGCUUUUACUUUUCUGGGGUUGUGAGUGUCAGUUAAUAAUAACUGGGUUGUCUUAGUGAUCCUAGGAUUUUGCUCCUUUCAGUGAUGGCUGAACAUGGAUGAAUAUUGAAUAUACCUCCACUGUUCUCUUCCUUGGGUCAUUUCUGCCCCCCGCCUGCCCCGCCCAGAAGGCUUCUUCUAAGCUCAUGUCUUAGCUUCUAAACUUGUCCUCAGUCCUCCAUUCAUGUCCCAUUAUGCCUCUGUGUCUAGGUUACAGCUGUCACUCUGUUUCAGACAUCACUCUGUUGGGUCCAAUUGUGUGCAGCGACAGCAACUAUAGGUGACGGUGUUCCUUCCUCUGGUGUCUGGGCAGGCAGCAUGGCAUAAGGCAAAGAGUCCUGGACCGAGUGUCAGAGCUGCAUCUGACAUGUGCUGAUUCCUGCAAAGCCAUGUGGCCUAGGAAAAAAUGUCCAUCUCCUGUUGCCAUAUUUGCAAAAUUUUGUCAUCUUAUCUCUAAGGAUCUUCCCCUUCUAACACCCUAUGAUUCUAGGUACACAGGUCACAAUCUGUAUAAAAACUUUACUUGGGCUUUUAGCCAUGAAUAUCAUACUUAUUGGAGAAUCAGAAGUAUCAGUGGGUUUAGAGUAUAGGGAGGAUGUUAAUGUGGGAGAUUUAAUGUCUGUGCUUUACCCCUCCAAAUCCCAGAAGUUUUUGUCGAAAUCCAUUUCCUAGAAACAAACAGGGGGCAUGAGGGCCUCACCGUAAGCUCACUGUUGUGUGGGUGGGUUUGGAUUGCUCUGUUGUCACUUCUCUAUGGCAAAUUCAAAUACAUCUUCAACCAUUAAGAUUUUUGUGAUCAGAACAAGUCUUUCAUUUCCUUUCUCCCAUUCUUCAAAUGCAAACCACUUCCCAUCACUUAUGGCUGUAAACAUAUUCUUAAAAAUAUUGAUUAUGUGUGUAGUGGUCUUAUGUUGCUUAUUGUACUGGAGAUCCGGUCCUAGGAAUUGAGCCUUGUUCAUAUGGGAGACUGUGUUCAGCAUGGUGUCUAACAUAUAUGUACUACAUGUAUGGAAGUUUCACUUAAUUAAUAAAUAUCUGAGUGUCAUGUGGGUAGUGGUCUGUAGGCUGGUCCCAGUCCAUGAACUUUUUGUGGCCAAUCCAUAAUAAAGGAGGUAUAAAAUUUGAGAAUAAAUGAUAGAAACAUUUAUAAUAAUUCGACAUUGCUGCACCAGCAAAAUAUGUGAUCAAUACACUUAUUUCACUGAAUAGAGCACACGAUGUAUUUUGUAUAUUGACCUUUUGUCCUACAAAGUUGAUAAAAUCACUUAU
ensembl:lncRNA